CUGGAAAGGCCGAGAGGCCCACCCAGAUACCCUUUGUGAACCUAUACCUCUCGUUGCCUCGGCGGACCGAGGGAUGCCUCCCGCGGGAGCGCCCUCCCCGGCGAAGCCCCCAGCGGGGCCAGCCCGGGAGCCGUCCGCCGGCGGCCCCACAAACUCUUGUUUCUAGCGUGUCUACCUUCUGAGCAAACACUAUAUCAAUAUAGUAA
rnacentral:misc_RNA from 1 species